AUGGCUUCACGGCCACCACGGAACACAACGAGGAAACGACAGAACAAACCGGAGAAAAAGCACGCACAGACCGCUGGGAGAGUUGCGCGCGCAACACCCUCCGCCCCUUCCCUCCAACUUCUCACUUCCUCUCCUUGUGCAUCCCCCCGCCCCUCGGGCUGGCCGCACCCACUGGCCCAACGGACGCGCUCGGAUUCUGGGCGUGGUCUGCGCGAUCUCGGCCUAGAAAGCUCCGCAGGCCUCCGGCUGAGCCGGCGCGGGGCGCCGCUGGAGGGGCGGGGGUACCGAGGUGCGGUGGCCCGGAGGCCCGGAGGUCCGGAGUGUUUUUCAGAUCCCGGCAGAUUGUUCAGGAAGGUUGCAUUGCCCCUAAUGGAGAAGUCCGUUUGCUAUUUCUGUGCCAGCCACCCAGGUCCAAGUCUCCUUACUGUACACAGCAAAUCCACUCUGCGGUCAGAUCCUGGCCUCCGGACCUCCCCUUCGCCCUUCUCCAGGGCGCCGGCACGCCUGCCACUGCUGCAGCCAUUGCAUCUCCCCGAAGACUCGUUUUGUAGCGGUUUCUACAGCCUUGUGAGCCAAGGAGGAUGCUUAGCCCCAUUUUACGGAUGCGGAAACUGCCUGAAAGAGGCUGAAGCCCUUGCUGGGGGGGGGAGGGGGGGGUCACACGGCUGAGUGACUUGAGGCAGAGUUUCCACACAGACCUUCCUCCUUCCUGACUAGAGGUCCGGCAUUCUGUCAGCUGGGAUUGAAAGUCCUUUGCAGUCUGUCUCCUUGUUUCAGCUAAACUGAUUUUGAUCCUGUUCCUCAUACAGGUCCCACUGGCUGACAGCUGGGCCAUUUGUCCCAAAGUCAAGGCCCCUCCUCAGCCUGCCUUUUGGAACCUUGAGGCUCCUUAUCUACAUGAGGCCUGCCGGCCUCCUGCUUUUUCUGCCAAAAUUCUCUUGUAUCUACUUUGUUUAUACCUGUACCUCCUCUCUCCUAGCUAGAUUGUACAUCAGGCAGCAUGUGUUGAUUAUUACUGUAUGCCAGACAUUGUGCAGCAAACUAGUGUUUCCUCCGAAUGUGGAUGGUGGUUUUUCUCCUAGAGCCCUCCAAGUUGUUCGGGUCACUGCAUUGCCACUAAUGGAGACAUCCACUACAUUUGAUUGUGCCACAGUGUGUCAGUCUCUGUGUACAAUGUUUUCCUGGUUCUGCUCCUCUCACUCUGCAUCACUUCCUGGAGGUUGUUCCAGUCUCCAUGGAAUUCCUCCACUUUAUUGUUCCUUUGAGCUCAAUAGUAUUCCAUCACCAACAUAUACCACAAUUUGUUCAGCCAUUCCCCAAUUGAUGGGCAUCCCCUCGUUUUCCAAUUUUUGGCCACCACAAAGAGCGCAGCGAUGAAUAUUCUUGUACAAGUCUUUUUCCUUAUGAUCUCUUUGGGGUACAAACCCAGCAGUGGUAUGGCUGGAUCAAAGGGCAGACAGUCUUUUAGCACCCUUUGGGCAUAGUUCCCAAUUGCCCUCCAGAAUGUCUACAACCCUUUUAAUAGGUUAGGGCAGCAGACCUAUCCUUACACUACCAUAUCCUCUGAUCCAAAUGACUCUGGCCUCCUAGCUUUUCCUAGCACAAGCCACUCCAUCUCCUUACUCUAGACCUUUUCAUCUCCACCUGGCAGCUCCCCUGGUUUCUUUCAGAUCUCACCUAAGGUACAGCCAUGUAAGUAACUGUUCUCAUUCCUCCUUAAUCUUAAAGCCUUUCCUCUAAGACUAUCCCCAGUUUAUCCUGUAUAUACCUUGUCUAUGCACUGUGGCUUGUCUCCCAUGUUAGACUGGGCUCUUGGAGAGCAAGGAUUCUUCCCUAACCGUCUUUGCAUAAUUAGCUCAGUGCCUGGCACCUAGUAGACUUAAUAAGUGCUUAUUGAUAGACUUACUGCUUGAGGGCACCCAGGAGGUGAAGGAGAGAGAGAGAAUUCCAGGCAUGGAAGACAGCCAAUAAAAAUACACUGAAGUUCAGACAUGUCUUGUUCCAGUAACAGCCAGUCUCACUGGAUUGUGGAGGGAGUAAGAGUGAAGAGGCAGGUGAGGGAGGGCUAUCAAAGCCCAAUAGAAGAUUUUAUCUUGGAUACCAGGCAAUCGGGUACCACUGGACUGGAGUUGAUGGAAUGAGGGGGGAACAGUCAGGUUUAUGCCUUAGAAGAUCAGUUGAUAGCUGAGUGAGAGGGAAGUUGGAGGAGAAAAGCAAAUACUGCCUUCUCUCUUUUCCCUCACAGAGGACUAAUUUGUGAACUUGGACAGGUUGAAUGAUUUGAACUUCCCUUUUAUGGCAGGAGACGUGUCCCUGGGAGCAGCAGUGGCUGAGGGCAGCAUCUCAACAUUUAGACACACUAAGAACAAAACGAGAUAAGCUAAGGACGAGUCUUGGAACCCUACUCGAGGCACCAACCCUAGAAGCCUUCAGGAGUGACGGCUAAUCUCACGAAGACCCCACUAAAGGAGAAAAGGGCUUCUAGUGCAGAGGUAGCAAUCAGUCGUCCUUUCCCCCAUGUGUAUACCUUAUCCAUGAGAGCCCCUUCCAUUGUAUUUGUUCCGGGAAGUCAGCCUUGCACUGUACAAAUCCAACAGUCCCACCCAAACAGACUUUCUUAUGGGACUGAGAAUUAGGGAAAAGGAGUCCACUGCCCUCUGGGUGUUAGCCUACCAGUUUCAGUAAGAGUGGGGGAAGUACCCAUCAAACAUUUAUUUUACUUGUACAUACUUUGAUUGUAUUGUAGAAUCUGUAGAAAAUGAUUCCUUUGUAAAGAGAGAUUCUUAUUUUUCUUUUUUUAAAAAAACCAGUCCAAGAAAUCAUUGGUUUUGCUAUUUAAAUUCAUAAAACUUCCUAAGAGAUGUGACCUAAGCAGUCACUAGGGAGAUAAACUCAAGUAUGUGUCUAGCAGAUGCUUUUUGUUUAUCACUCAAGUGUUAUUCCGGAUCUAACCCUCCUUUUCCAAUCCAUAUAACCGAUUUUACUACUAGGAGUCAGUGGGGUUUUGUAAACUGGUUUACAGAGCGUUGGGUGGAAGGUUUUGGUGUGGAGAUGGACUGGACGGCGUCUCGGUCCUUGCCAACGCUCAAAUGCUGUGAUUAUCCACAGAAGGGCAGACAUGGUGGAUUUUCCUAAAUAAUCACGAUGGAUUUACCAAGUCCACUCAUGGCAGAGAAAUCAUUUUCCAAAAUUAAUAGAAAUGCAACACUUUAUUAAAGUAAGAGAAUCUUUACUAUGAAUUUACAAAUGGUGGAGCGACAAAUCAUUUUGCUAUACUGUAAGCCAUACUUUCAAGGUAUUUCAUAAAUACAAAACCUCAACAUUCUCAGUAUCAUUUUUACAGCUUAAAUAUACAUUUACAGCAUUUCAGAGGGACAUAGUAUUGAACAGAAAAGCCGCCUUGUGAUAGCUUACUUCUGCACACAGAAUUUGAGUAGUUACAUACUCCACGUAUACAUAUGAAGUGAAUUCCAUGGAGAGAUGACAUGUGUUUAACAUGUACUGUACACAUACUGGAAAACAGGAGCCUGAUUUCUAAUCAUUUACACGUUCCUUGCAAGGUCUAGAGGCAAACUCUACAUUCUGUCAGAGGUCAGGAACCAAAGCCUGAUUCCGUGUCUUAUGUUGUGGGCGUUCCCUACGCUAAGCCAUGUAGGAUCCUUCCUGGUGCCAGAGAACUCUGGGGCAGGACUGGCUCAAAAGCUGGGAGAAGCCAUUUCCCUUUUGUAUCCCGUCUCAAGAGAAAACGCUUUUCCAUGGUUCCAUAUCCUGGAAAAAUGUGUGAUUUGGGGAAGGCAACCACAUAGGGGAAAGUCCUCCCUCCUCCGCCUAGCCUGGAUAUCAGGGUUUUAGGUUUCCAGCUGACCUCCUUAGAGCCCCAGGAGAGAGUUUCUGCUCUUGAGCCAGCCUUGCCCUUCCUGGAGGCCCAACAGUGACUCUUUCCACUAAAGAGAAGAGACUUGAAUCCAAGAGUUACACAGAAUAGACUCAAGCACAGGUUAACUCUCCGUUCUUCAGGCCGGGGCUCGAGCUCCAAGCUUCAGAAGCCUCCGUCUUCUUUCCUUCCGCUUUUUCUCCCUGGAUUAUUUUAAAUUUACUUUGAAUUUCUCACUAUUCACUGAUACAUCAAUUAAAAUCUAUUUGCAUAUGUUUAGUUCUUAAUCAUAUGAACUCAUGUCAGAGUUUGAGAGAUAUUUCAAAUAUAAGUAAACAUUGAUCGUUCCUUAAUUUAAAUGAUCAAAAUGUUUAAAUAAAAAAUAUGUACAUUAUGUAGCAGAAAUAUAAUUUCCCCAAACAUCUGCAAAACAGCAUUUCUAUAUACUUUAUUCAACUUGGUGGCCAAAUGAUACAUUAGAAAAUGGAUUAUCUUUAGAUAAUUUAAAAUUUUUUGAAUAUUAUAAUACAGGAUGCAGCAAUAUUUAAAAAACACAAAAACCAAGCAUUAAAAUUUUUUAAAAACUUUAUAUGAGGUCAGGGACUUUUAGGGGGGAAAGAACUUACUACACUAAUAUUUCUGGUACUGGUUUCGAACAAGAUGGUAUGUGAACCAGUAAAUAUUACAUUAUUAAAGGUCUAAUUUCUCUUGGGAAUACUGUGAUAACUCAUAUAUCUUGGUUUGACUUGAAAUAUUUCCAUUAGUUUAAAUUAUAUUAAAAUUGAAAAUUAUUCCUGCUAUUAUUUUUACCUUAUCAAAUAUUAAAUUUUAGAUUGAAA